rnacentral:rRNA from 1 species
CCUACGGGUGGCAGCAGUAGGGAAUCGUCCACAAUGGGCGAAAGCCUGAUGGAGCAACGCCGCGUGGGUGAAGAAGGUCUUCGGAUCGUAAAACCCUGUUGAUAGAGAAGAAAGUGAGUGAGAGUAACGGUUCACGUUUCGAGGGUAUCUAACCAGAAAGCCACGGCUAACUACGUGCCAGCAGCCGCGGUAAUACGUAGGGGGCAAGCGUUAGCCGGAUUUAUUGGGCGUAAAGGGAACGCAGGCGGUCUUUUACGUCUGAUGUGAACGCCUUCGGCUUAACCGGAGUAGUGCAUUUGAAUCUGGGAGACUUUAGUGCAGAAGAGGAUAGUGGAACUCCAUUUGUAGCG